ensembl:lncRNA
UGUGCUUGGCUUUUAAGCAGUAGUCCUCCUAUGAAUGCAUUACAUUUGGUCAAUUAAACAAUGUAGUGGAGGUGAAGACGGUUUAUGCAGUUGUUUGUUAGUAACACUACAGCAAGUUGCCUUUCAUGCUGGGUUGCUCUUUGUAACAUCUGCCAUAUAUUUUUCCUUAUAAUAGCUCAAUGAGUUGUGAGAUGAUGUAUGUAAAACAAAUUCUAAAGCUCAUUUCAUCCCAAAGCCGCAGAGUCAUUGUCUGGUUACAGCAGAAAUAAUUUGGCAUUACAAAUACUAGUUGGGAUGAAAUAAAUUUGAGUCAACAAGUUACUACUAUUUUGUAGGAUUCUAAAUUGUGUGAAUGAAUAAAUGUGUAUUAAAAACCUGCAGAAGAUUGUGUACAGGCCAUGUCACUUGUUCAGGGGGCUGGAAAAAUUAGGAGAAAAUGGGAUCUCUGGCUCUUCAAAUAUAGUCCAAGUAAAAAAUGCUGCUCGGACAUUACAUUUAAAAGUGCACAAUUUGCAAAGUAAUAUUUGUUGAGUUGUGGUUUGGGUUUUUUGGCCUUCAGUUUUACGUAAUGGAUUUGUUCACAUUUAGGAAUGGUAUGGAAGAGAAAUUAAAAGCGUGUUAUCACUUCAAGAGGGUAACUUGUCAGCAGAAGUUGACAUGGAAGAAUACAACGAGCAGAUGCUGUGGGUUGGACGACAGGCAGGAAUCAGCACCAAGACAGCCAUGCCAAGAGGACUAUAUCAUCCAGCAACAGUAUUUAUGGGCUGCCACACAUCAGCCGUCUCCGCUGGAGGAGGUUUGGGCACAUGGCAGAAACCCCCACAGCCCACAGAGAGCCACUCAGCACCCGACCCGCCUUCAUGCUCUCCAUCACUUGAAGGACUCGGUCCAGAGAGCAGAAGCUCUGAUUUAGAGAGUGAUGCAUCAGUGGAGGGAGCAGCGAAACACAGGGACCUGGCUGCCAGUGAAGAAGACUCUGAGCAACUCUUCUCCUCAACAUCUGAUCCCAAACCAGCUACCCCUGAGGAGGAACGGCCGCAGGGAAGCAUCCCAGGUACGUCGGGACACGUGCCUGUCUGCCUCUGCCUGGUGCUGGGGCGUGCUCAUCUCAACCAGAGUGAUGCUCACGGCUGCUGGUU